GUGGGGAAUAUUGCACAAUGGGCGCAAGCCUGAUGCAGCCAUGCCGCGUGUAUGAAGAAGGCCUUAGGGUUGUAAAGUACUUUCAGCGGGGAGGAAGGUGAUAAGGUUAAUACCCUUGUCAAUUGACGUUACCCGCAGAAGAAGCACCGGCUAACUCCGUGCCAGCAGCCGCGGUAAUACGGAGGGUGCAAGCGUUAAUCGGAAUUACUGGGCGUAAAGCGCACGCAGGCGGUCAAUUAAGUCAGAUGUGAAAGCCCCGAGCUUAACUUGGGAAUUGCAUCUGAAACUGGUUGGCUAGAGUCUUGUAGAGGGGGGUAGAAUUCCAUGUGUAGCGGUGAAAUGCGUAGAGAUGUGGAGGAAUACCGGUGGCGAAGGCGGCCCCCUGGACAAAGACUGACGCUCAGGUGCGAAAGCGUGGGGAGCAAACAGGAUUAGAAACCCUAGUAGUCC
rnacentral:rRNA from 1 species